rnacentral:rRNA from 1 species
CCUACGGGAGGCAGCAGUGGGGAAUAUUGCGCAAUGGGCGAAAGCCUGACGCAGCGACGCCGCGUGAGGGAUGAAGGUCUUCGGAUCGUAAACCUCUGUCAGCAGGGAAGAACGGUCACUGUGCUAAUCAGCAGUGAAUUGACGGUACCUGCAAAGGAAGCACCGGCUAACUCCGUGCCAGCAGCCGCGGUAAUACGGAGGGUGCGAGCGUUAAUCGGAAUUACUGGGCGUAAAGCGCUCGUAGGCGGUAUGUCAAGUCAAGGGUGAAAUCCCCGCGCUCAACGUGGGAACUGCCUUUGAAACUGGCAGACUGGAGUGUGUGAGAGGAGAGUGGAAUUCCAGGUGUAGGAGUGAAAUCCGUAGAUAUCUGGAGGAACAUCAGUGGCGAAGGCGACUAUCUGGCACAUAACUGACGCUGAGGAGCGAAAGCGUGGGUAGCAAACAGGAUUAGAUACCCUGGUAGUC